GAAGGAUCAUUAAUGAAUAUAACAUCGGAGGGAGGAAUAUGGGGGAAGUUGUUGCUGGCCUUUAGUUGGCAUGUGCACACUCUCCUGAGGACCUCUCGACGUCUUUCAUCUCUCACCUGUGCACCAAUUGUAGGUUAGAUUUCUCUCUCCAGUAGGGGGGGGAGGUCGUUAAUAACCUAUGUAUUCAAUAUACAUCUUCGUGUAGAAAGUCCCAGAAUGUUUACUAUCAGAGAGUUGCGACUUCUAGGAGUUGUGAAUCUUUGAGAUAAAAGUUUAUUACAACUUUCAGCAAUGGAUCUCUUGGCUCUCGCAUCGAUGAAGAACGCAGCGAAAAGCGAUAUGUAAUGUGAAUUGCAGAUCUACAGUGAAUCAUCGAAUCUUUGAACGCACCUUGCGCUCCUUGGUAUUCCGAGGAGCAUGCCUGUUUGAGUGUCAGUAAUUUCUCAACCCCCUCUUGAUUAGAUUCGAGAGGGGAGCUUGGAUAGUGGGGGCUGCUGGUGACUAGGGACUUUUGUCCCUAGACUCGGCUCUCCUUAAAUAUAUUGGCUUGCGGUUAACUUUUCGAGUUUGCGCGAAAAGGCUUUCGGCGUGAUAAUGAUCGCUGUGUGCUGAAGUGCAUAAAUGAAAAGUUUCGUGCCUCUAAUAUUAUGUUGACUGUUUAUUCAGUCUUCAAAAAUUUGACAUUUUGACCUCAAAUCAGGUAG
rnacentral:rRNA from 1 species